rnacentral:rRNA from 1 species
CAUGCAGUCGAACGAGAGAGAAGGAGCUUGCUUCUUCGAUCGAGUGGCGAACGGGUGAGUAACGCGUGAGGAACCUGCCUCAAAGAGGGGGACAACAGUUGGAAACGACUGCUAAUACCGCAUAAGCCCACGGGUCGGCAUCGACCUGAGGGAAAAGGAGUGAUCCGCUUUGAGAUGGCCUCGCGUCCGAUUAGCUAGUUGGUGAGGUAACGGCCCACCAAGGCGACGAUCGGUAGCCGGACUGAGAGGUUGAACGGCCACAUUGGGACUGAGACACGGCCCAGACUCCUACGGGAGGCAGCAGUGGGGAAUAUUGCACAAUGGGGGAAACCCUGAUGCAGCGACGCCGCGUGGAGGAAGAAGGUCUUCGGAUUGUAAACUCCUGUUGUUGAGGAAGAUAAUGACGGUACUCAACAAGGAAGUGACGGCUAACUACGUGCCAGCAGCCGCGGUAAAACGUAGGUCACAAGCGUUGUCCGGAAUUACUGGGUGUAAAGGGAGCGCAGGCGGGAAGACAAGUUGGAAGUGAAAUCUAUGGGCUCAACCCAUAAACUGCUUUCAAAACUGUUUUUCUUGAGUAGUGCAGAGGUAGGCGGAAUUCCCGGUGUAGCGGUGGAAUGCGUAGAUAUCGGGAGGAACACCAGUGGCGAAGGCGGCCUACUGGGCACCAACUGACGCUGAGGCUCGAAAGUGUGGGUAGCAAACAGGAUUAGAUACCCUGGUAGUCCACACCGUAAACGAUGAUUACUAGGUGUUGGAGGAUUGACCCCUUCAGUGCCGCAGUUAACACAAUAAGUAAUCCACCUGGGGAGUACGACCGCAAGGUUGAAACUCAA